rnacentral:lncRNA from 1 species
ACCAAAAAAAUAUCAGUGUGUUUUCUAUCUAUGGCUUUCUAAAUUCCUUAACGAUUAUUUCCUAUUCAUUUUGCAUGGUUGGUUUUCUAAAAAUCAUCAAAUUUCUCUCGGUUUUCUCUUUUAACUUUUCUUUAGUUCAAAUCAAAGUGUAUAUUUCUUUAAAAUCUUUCAUUCUAACAAGAUUCGGCUUAAUUAAAAAAUUGGCCCAACUAUAGCACUUUUUACAUUUAGGUACCUAAUUUUUUUUUAUCAAAAGUGAUACUCGAACUUUAAGUCUGUUAUCACUUUUGAUCCAACCGUUAUCUUCUGUAUUAAAAAAAUCUCUUAACCAAUAAUAUUGCAAAACGUGACAUUUUUAUUUACAUAAAAAAUUUUAAAUUCAAUAUUAAAUAAUAUUAUCUCCAUGAACAAAAUAUAUUUAUGUAUUAUCUCCAUUUGAAGCAUUGGAUUGUAUUUGAGUAUUUCUUUUUAUUAAAAUUCCACAUUUCAAACUUCAAACUUGCUGUAAAUUUGCAACUUUGUUGAAGUUGCAGAAUAGCUUCAAAAAUUAGAGUUUUUGAUUGUUUGAUGAGGAAAUUGGCAAUGGAAACCAUGUUUUUUUUUAUGGAUUUAAGGGAAUGGGUAUUUGAUAAACAAAAAUAAUAGCAUUUUUUUAAGGCUUAAUACUUCUUUUGGCCCUUAUACUGUAGUUAAAUUACCACUUUGAUAUUUUUACUAUUUUUUUAUCAGUUUAAUCUAUGUACUUUUAAUUUGUAUACCCGUUGCCACCUAUAUAUUUUCCUUUAAAAAAGUUAAAUUAGUUAAUGGCAUGCUGCCAUGCUUCAAUUAAAAUUUAAAAAAAAUGAGAAAACCCCCCACAACUCUUAAAACUUAGAAAAUUGUUAAUAAUAAUAAUUUAGUUUUUGAAAUUAUAAAAAAUAUUUUUUAAAAUUAUACGUAUGUGAAACUUAAAAUUAUUUUUAAAAAUUUUCAUAAAUUAAAAAAAAACCAUUUUUUUGGGAUUCUAGGGUUUUUUUUAGAAAAUCUUAAAAGUUUGAGAUUUUUUUGAAAAUUUUAGGGAUUUUGUUGUGCGGAAGCAUGUAAAAGAGUAAAAUUAUUGUACUAAAAAAUCACACUAAGUUCAAUUCCAGGAAAGAGAGGUGGAUCACAAAGAUCGCUUAAGUACCAAAUCUUUCCUAACCAGAAUAUUCAUCAAUCGUAAUUUAAUAGCACAAUAAAUCACUACAAUCACACUCACAAUUCAUGCAGAAUAAUACAAUAAAGAACACAAGAAUUUAACGAGGUUCAACAAAUUUUGCCUACGUCAUCGGGCACUACCAAAUAUAUUUCACUCCAAAAUACAAGUGAAAAUUUACAAAGAGAGAGAGAGAACAAUGCCUUAAGUAGAGAAUGGCAAAUAUGAGAUACAGAAUGAGAGAUGGUUAUGCCUAUUUAUAGUUGAGGUUCAGGGAUCAACUUGCAAAGUCACUUUACAAUUAGGGACCAAAUAUUGCAAAUAUCUCAGAUUUCUUAUGUCAAUAUCUCGAUACCCAUAUCUUUGACUUUCCAUAAAUAUGGAUGAUUUCCAAUAGAUUUUAUUUUUUUGCAC